GCCCCCUAAAGGAAUUUUCCAAUGCAAGAAAACACGCAAGUGUUUGCACGUUUUGCGAGCUUUAGUUGUGAACGUGCUGAGUGAAAUAGUGCAUUUUGGAAGUGAAGAAGAAAAAAUUUAUAUUAAAAAAUUAAAAUCUGUGUACUUUCGUGCGAGGAAUUCUUGCAAAAGUGUAAAUAAUAAAAUAAUUUAGAAAAUUCUAGCGAAAAUAACUUGGCAGUUUCACAAACAUAUCUCUAAAAUAAAUAAAUAUU
rnacentral:lncRNA from 1 species